rnacentral:rRNA from 1 species
CCUACGGGUGUCAGCAGUGGGGAAUAUUGCACAAUGGGGGAAACCCUGAUGCAGCGACGCCGCGUGAGUGAAGAAGUAAUUCGGUAUAUAAAGCUCUAUCAGCAGGGAAGCAAAUGACGGUACCUGAGUAAGAAGCCCCGGCUAACUACGUGCAAGCAGCCGCGGUACUACGUAGGGGGCAGGCGUUAUCCGGAUUUACUGGGUGUAAAGGGGACGUAGACGGCAGUGCAAGUCUGGUGUGAAAGGCCGGGGCUCAACCCCCGGACUGCUUUGGAAACUGGAAGGCUGGAGUGCAGGAGAGGUAAGUGGAAUGCGUAGUGUAGCGGUGAAAUGCGUAGAUAUUAGGCGGAACAACAGUGGCGAAGGCGGCUUACUGGA